UACGGGGGGGGCAAGCGUUGUUCGGAAUUACUGGGCGUAAAGGGCUCGUAGGUGGCCAACUAAGUCAUACGUGAAAUCCCUCGGCUUAACCGGGGAACGGCGUCUGAUACUGGAUGGCUUGAGUUUGGGAGAGGGAUGCGGAAUUCCAGGUGUAGCGGUGAAAUGCGUAGAUAUCUGGAGGAACACCGGUGGCGAAGGCGGCAUCCUGGACCAAUACUGACGCUGAGGCGCGAAAGCUAGGGGAGCAAACAGG
rnacentral:rRNA from 1 species